CUUUGGAAUUGCUGAGGCAUGUUUCCUGGUCUUGUCUGACUCAGGAGGUGAAGCAGUUUACAGAAUAGAAUCCAUGGAAUGGAGUAAGGGGGAUAAACUCAGAGGAAAUGAUCCAGACAAAUGACCAAGCUUCAUUGUCCCACUUGACUGGAAGUACCGUGAGUGAGAUCUGACUUAGCUGAGCCAGGUCUAUGGUGUCAGCUUUCUGGAGUGCUGGGGAUCCUUGCCACUCUUUUUAUCUCUAGCUUUAACACAGAGUGGCACUGCACUGCAACGUCCAUGUGCUGAGAUAGGCAGAAUGUCUGAGGAUCAAGCCCUCCUCUGAUUUCUACUCUGCCGCUUGCUUUUAGGAUCCAGAAGGAUGAGAGCCCGUGGCCUAUGGUACAUUAUCAAGCUUUCUGAUUGUGAACAUGAAUCAUAAUAAACAUCUUACAUUUUUAUUGGCUCAUUAAAAAAAUGUCUAAGUA